UUUAAUAGCAUUUUAAUAGAAAAUCAAUAACAUGAACUAAAAACCAGUAACAUAUCUCAGAAAUAGUAUUCAUUUAAGAAAAUGUUCAUCUGAAUAUCACCUAAAAUCAACUGGCAUACACACAUGAUCACAUUUUAGGUGAAAUAGAGUCCCUUCUUCUUGCCAUGUAACAAGGAUAUCAUGAAAGGCUUUGUAAAAUACUGUGCUAAGAAGCAGAGAGCUGUUAAUCCCAAAACUCUUCUCUCUAAAUGGAAAUCUCUUUCAUCUAAUUUGGCAUGUUCUUAGUAAAUACACCUUGAUUCACCAUCAGUGUCCACUACUGAAGACCACAUAUACCCAGGAAGAUGCAGUGACACAUAUAAGAGGAGCGGUUCUUUGUAGAAUAAAUGUUUUGUAAUGAUUUUAUUCUCUGCUAUCUAAGGACUAUCUGUAUAUAUGACUACUUGCACAAAUGAAACUUUUAUACAUUCUGUAUGCUCACAUUUCUUCAACAUCAUACUGAACAAAACAAUUUCACAGUACGAUACCAGUGAGGCUUUUAGAAUGAAAAUCUGCAUGAGAGCACAGUAAUAACAUGCUAUAAUUGCUCAGAGAGAAAGCAUCCUUCAUCUCCAAGUUUGCCAAUGGCACACUCUGUUAUUAUUUGAAGUGGAACAGGUCACUUAAAUUUCUCUGUAUCCAUGUCACAAGUUUCAUUUAGGUUCUGUGUUUUACUUCUGAAUUCGCAAAGUGGAAUAUGGUUUAUUAGAAGAGAGAGUACUGAAAGGUAUUUGUCAGAUGUCUUUUGUGGUAACAUUUUCAUUCACAUCUUAGCUUCAUGCAAGGAAUAGGACCAUAUAAAAAUAAAGCUAGAACACAAAUCAUCACAUAUUCAUAUGUCAGGACUCUGAGCUUAAAGAAGAAAUCCCUUUUAUAUCCAUGAUAAACUCAGAUGUCUAACCCUCCCUGCAACCACACAUAUUCCUUACUGCAUAAAUUGCUAAAAGAGGUUGCCUAUACAAAUUGUUAUCCAUAAAAGCAGGCAUUCUAAUCUGUAUUUGCACUGUUAUUUUCUUUAAUAUGUAAGUCAAUUAUAGCAAGCUUUAAAUAGAACCUAAUGAGAAAUUCUCAUAAUUAAAGAGAAAAGAGUACAGGAACUUCCUGCCAAUAUAAACUGUUAAUUUUGCAACACAUGCUCCAUAGACUUUUUCCAAUUUCUAUAUUUUAUUCACACUGUGUGUUUCACCAAAAUAAUGCUUUUAAUGAAAAUUUCCCAGUGAGUACAAUUUUCUUACUUUAAAUGAUAACUACACUUUUAAUCUGAAACCUCUGUAAGAUCCUCAUUGGCAAAAGACAAGAUUGAGAUCACUUCCAUUUUCAGGAAACUGUGUGAGAUCAGCAUGGCAGAUAUAGCAAUAGAUGUUUCCCUUUCUUUUCCACUUUGAGACCUGGGAGCUUAUUAUUUGAAUAGCCAUGAAAAACAAAGUGGAUUAACCAAAAAAAAAAAAAAAAAAAAA
rnacentral:lncRNA from 1 species